rnacentral:rRNA from 1 species
UGAGGAAUAUUGGUCAAUGGGCGAGAGCCUGAACCAGCCAAGUCGCGUGAAGGAAGACAGUCCUAAGGAUUGUAAACUUCUUUUAUACGGGAAUAACGGGCGAUACGAGUAUUGCAUUGAAUGUACCGUAAGAAUAAGCAUCGGCUAACUCCGUGCCAGCAGCCGCGGUAAUACGGAGGAUGCGAGCGUUAUCCGGAUUUAUUGGGUUUAAAGGGUGCGUAGGUUGUUCGGUAAGUCAGCGGUGAAACCUGAGCGCUCAACGGUCAGCCUGCCGUUGAAACUGCCGGGCUUGAGUUCAGUGGCGGCAGGCGGAAUUCGUGGUGUAGCGGUGAAAUGCAUAGAUAUCACGAGGAACUCCGAUUGCGAAGGCAGCUUGCCAUACUGCGACUGACACUGAAGCACGAAGGCGUGGGUAUCAAACAGG